rnacentral:rRNA from 1 species
UACUUUGGCGGCGACCGGCAAACGGGUGCGGAACACGUACGCAACCUUCCUCAGAGCGGGGAAUAGCCUCUCGAAAGAGAGAUUAAUACCCCAUAGUAUCUUGAAACUGCAUGGUUUUAAGAUUAAAGCUCCGGCACUUUGAGAUGGGCGUGCGGCUGAUUAGGUAGUUGGUAGGGUAACGGCCUACCAAGCCAACGAUCAGUAGCUGAUGUGAGAGCAUGAUCAGCCACACGGGCACUGAGACACGGGCCCGACUCCUACGGGAGGCAGCAGUGAGGAAUAUUGGUCAAUGGAGGCAACUCUGAACCAGCCAUGCCGCGUGAAGGAUGAAGGUCCUCUGGAUUGUAAACUUCUUUUAUAGAAGAAGAAACCCACGUUUUCUAAUGUGGUUGACGGUACUCUAUGAAUAAGCACCGGCUAACUCCGUGCCAGCAGCCGCGGUAAUACGGAGGGUGCAAGCGUCAUCCGGAUUCACUGGGUUUAAAGGGAGCGUAGGUGGGUCUGUAAGUCAGUGGUGAAAUCCCCGAGCUUAACUUGGGAACUGCCAUUGAUACUAUAGAUCUUGAAUACUGUGGAGGUAAGCGGAAUAUGUCAUGUAGCGGUGAAAUGCUUAGAUAUGACAUAGAACACCGAUAGCGAA